GACCGCGUAGCUCAAUUGGCAGAGUAUUGGGCUAGUAUUCCAAAGGUCGUGGGUUCGAUUCCCACCGUGGCCG
rnacentral:tRNA from 1 species